rnacentral:tRNA from 1 species
AUUUUUUUAGUAUAAAAAGUACAUAUAGUUUCCAACUAUAAAGUCUUUAAAAGAAAAAAUA